UACGUAGGGUGCGAGCGUUGUCCGGAAUUAUUGGGCGUAAAGAGCUUGUAGGCGGUUUGUCGCGUCUGCUGUGAAAAUCCGGGGCUCAACCCCGGACUUGCAGUGGGUACGGGCAGACUAGAGUGUGGUAGGGGAGACUGGAAUUCCUGGUGUAGCGGUGAAAUGCGCAGAUGUCAGGAGGAACACCGAUGGCGAAGGCAGGUCUCUGGGCCACUACUGACGCUGAGAAGCGAAAGCAUGGGGAGCGAACAGG
rnacentral:rRNA from 1 species